AUUGAACGCUGGCGGCAGGCCUAACACAUGCAAGUCGAACGAGUGGCGGACGGGUGGGUAAUGACUGGGCAACUGCCUGAUGGAGGGGGAUAACUACUGGAAACGGUAACUAAUAACGCAUAACUUCGGAUGUGCCCAGAUGGGAUUAGCGAGUAGGAGGGGUAAAGGGUCACCGAGGCGACGAUCCCUACCUGGUCUGAGAGGAGGACCAGCCACACUGGAACUGAGACACGGUCCAGACUCCUACGGGAGGCAGCAGGGGGGAAUAUUGCACAAUGGGCGCAAGCCUGAUGCAGCCAUGGCGCGUGUAUGAAGAAGGCCUUCGGGUUGUAAAGUACUGGCAGCGGGGAGGCGUUACCCGCAGAAGAAGCACCGGCUAACUACGUGCCAGCAGCCGCGGUAAUUC
rnacentral:rRNA from 1 species